CUGGACGCUUGGCUAUAAUCUCCGAAACGGAGUCCCAGCCCCAGCCAAUCACUCAGCUCCUCUUAACAAGUCUAACUGGCUCUGGGAAGCUGAGCGGGCUGCGCUGGAACACAGAGAUGAGAUAUUCCACACAAUAAUCUGCUUAUCUGAAAUUGCUUUGCCUGAAGAAACCAGAGAGAAGGCACAGCCUCAUUGUCUGGGGAGAAAAAAGAGGCAGGUGAUCCCGGGGGGAAACGCACCUGGAGCAA
rfam:Ochotona princeps cont2.152317, whole genome shotgun sequence.